rnacentral:rRNA from 1 species
UCGAGAAUCUUCGGCAAUGAGCGCAAGCUUGACCGAGCGACGCCGCGUGCGGGAUGAAGGCCUUCGGGUUGUAAACCGCUUUCGGUUGGGAGGAAAUUUGUCGGGGUUCUCCCCGAUGAUUGACCUAUCUUCGGAAGAAGGACGGGCUAAGUACGUGCCAGCAGCCGCGGUAAUACGUACCGUCCAAACGUUAUUCGGAAUUAUUGGGCUUAAAGGGUAUGUAGGCGGCGCUGUUAGUCGGGUGUGAAAUCCCUCGGCUCAACCGAGGAAUUGCGCCCGAUACUGCAGUGCUUGAGGGAGACAGAGGUAAGCGGAACUGAUGGUGGAGCGGUGAAAUGCGUUGAUAUCAUCAGGAACACCGGUGGCGAAAGCGGCUUACUGGGUCUCUUCUGACGCUGAGAUACGAAAGCUAGGGGAGCGAAGGG